GGACAUAUUUGGUCACAGCCUGGCACGUCACGGCGCGGAGGAGGCUCCGCCGCGGAGCAGGAAGCGCGGGAGUCGCGUCACCCGUGAGCUCUGGGCGCCUGCGGGCGGCGACCCGGAGGCCCGGGUGGGCGACCUGGUCCCGCCCCGAGCCUAGAGCUGCCUGCCUGUGCAGAGGCCAAGCAUGGAAGGCAACUACCUGGAAGGAGAUGGGAGUGAGCUCCUCGUCCAUCCGUUCCUUCGGGCUGAGUGGUGAAGGAAGGGAGGAAUUUUAGCUUUUUUUGCCUUAAAGAAGUUGGGAUGUCCAAAUAGCUGGUGGGCUUGCAUAGACACUAAAUAAAGGCCGAGAGAGUAGCCUAGAAAAACCCAUGUUUGACGGUAUUCGUGCUGAGAUAGUUUAGUUUAGCGCCUUUACCGCUAAAACAGCCCCCAGCACCCACGCCGGCCACGCCUGGUGGAAAUGUUCAUCUGUACGAUCACAGGGAUGAAUGGUUGGUUUCUCCAGAGUCUGAAACAGUUCCUCAUCCACAGUUUGAUAAUCUGUCAAGAGAACGGGUUGCUUUGGGAUAGAGAAGGAGGAGGUAGGUACCCUUUAUUCAGCCCACUCUGCCUCUGUGAGGCCAACAAGGAGGCCAACGCCUGGAUAGUUGAUUGACCCAAACUUCUCAAAGCAGGCUCCUCUUUUAAGUUAGUUAAGGCAUUCACUAACUAAACCAAGCCUGGUAUGGUGUCAUCAGCACGGUAAUUAGUCCCAGUUCUUGAAGGUUGGAAGCAGGUCCGCUGCCCCUUCUAAGCCGGCCUGCAUAGCACACAGAAAGCUGGGGAUUGCUUGAGCCCAGGAGUUCAAGGCCAUCCUGAGACACCCACUUCAGGAAGUUAAUUUUUUUCAGGCGUUGUAUAUAUACUUUCUAUUUUCUUUUUUCCUUCCCUCCUGCUUCCUCCUUCUCUCCCUUCCUCCCGUUCUUUUUUGUUUCUUUGAGAUAGGGUCUAGUGUGUCCAGGCUGGUUUUGAAUUCUCUAGUAGAAUUGGCAUUGAACUACUGGUCCUUCCGUCUGUCACCCCAAGAGCUAGGAUUCCUGGGGCGCACUUCUUUGGCUUGCAGAACAGCAUUAUUUAAUGUCGCACUCUGAAGAAAUGAUGAGUCACCUGAACUCCUAGUAUUUAAAACAUCCAUUCAAAUGACAAGAGGCAGGCUCUCCACGCAGUGAACAGUCCUGGCCAGGCCUGACUUUCACCAGUCGCAUUCCGUUCCAGAGCCUUUUGAACAAGCAGCAAGGACCAUCUUGCCAGAGCAAGUGGUGAGCUCUCAGAUCACUGUGGUAACAUGGAUUCCAGGUUUCUGCCUCGGGAGCCCGGAGCUGAGAUGGGUUGGUACCCUCAGCCAAAACUCCCGGACCAGUGGAGAGAGCAGAGUUGGUCACCAAAGAUGAAUGACUUACCAACCUGUGGCUAUGCAGGAAGCCUCCACUUAAACUCCUUCGGAUGGAAUUCAGUUCAAUUCUCGGUUGGGAAGCCCAGAGCACAGACAAGUUCUAGCAGCAGAUGGCCAUCUCCAGUUCUGUGAGUCAGCCUAGCAGUCGGACAUGGGAACAAAGGCCGGCAGAGCUGCAAGGAGAGAAGGACGCUUGGUCUUCACAGCCACGUGGACAGAAGUGUGGAUAGGCUGAGUACUCGACGCUUUUCUUUCUUUCCCUUUUACAUUUAGUUCACUUGUGUUGGGGGCAGGGCAGGGGGCACUCACGUGCCACAGACAUACAGUCUGAGGAUUGCCUGUGGGAGUUGGCUCUCUCUUCACUGUGUGGGGUCCAGGGAUCAAAUUCAAGCCAUCAGGGUAGACACCAAGUGCCUUUACCCACUGAGUUAUCUUACCAAUGUCCCAGGUACUUUACAGUAUUUAUUUUAUGAGCAUGGGUAUUUUGCCUGAGUGUGUGUCUAUGUAUGUACCAUGCUUGUAUAAUGCCCACAUAGACUAGAAGACGGACAUGAGUUAUUUCCGGGGUGUGAUGUUACAGAUGGUUGUGAUUCUAGAAAUCGGACACCAGUUCUCUUGAAGAGCAGCCAGUGCUCUUAACCUCUGAGCCACCCACCCACCUUUCCAAUUACCCCACCUGCCUCUCCUAACACUUUUUUUUUUUUUUUUUGAGUCUUAUGGAACUGAGCUCUUCAGACCGUGGCUUCUGACACUUUCUCUGGGUAGCAACGGAAUCGAAUGGGAUUGUAGGAUGUCCAGCUGGCAUCUGGAGAGCCGGAGACUGAGUUGUUGGUGCGAGGAAACCCCACACAACUAAGCAUCAGAAGAGCUUUGAAUGAAACAAGCCAGAGUAAUGUAUUCUGAUCUCUAGGUUAUUUGUUUACUUGGGAACAGAAGACAAAGAACUCUGCAGCUGGCUGUUUUGUUCCAUUCCAGGUUCAAAUAACAGAGAGCA